GUAGUGGACUAUAUAGGGAAGAGGCAGUUAUCCGGACCGGGCCCUGACAGUAGUAGUGGACUAUAUAGGGGAGAGGUAGUUAUCUGGACCGGGCCCUGACAGUAGUAGUGGACUAUAUAGGGAAGAGGCAGUUAUUUGGACCGGGCCCUGACAGUAGUAGUGAACUAUAUAGGGGAGAGGUAGUUAUCUGGACCGGGCCCUGACAGUAGUAGUGGACUAUAUAGGGAAGAGGCAGUUAUCUGGACCGGGUCAUAUGGUAGUAGUUCUGGUUAUAUACGUAGAUACAGACCCCAACACCCAGCAGGUGAUCGGUAACACGCUGUGUAGAUACAGACCCCAACACCCAGCAGGUGAUCGGUAACACGCUGUGUAGAUACAGACCCCAACACCCAGCAGGUGAUCGGUAACACACUGUGUAGAUACAGACCCCAACACCCAGCAGGUGAUCGGUAACACGCUGUGUAGAUACAGACCCCAACACCCAGCAGGUGAUCGGUAACACACUGUGUAGAUACAGACCCCAACACCCAGCAGGUGAUCGGUAACACGCUGUGUAGAUACAGACCCCAACACCCAGCAGGUGAUCGGUAACACACUGUGUAGAUACAGACCCCAACACCCAGCAGGUGAUCGGUAACACGCUGUGUAGAUACAGACCCCAACACCCAGCAGGUGAUCGGUAACACGCUGUGUAGAUACAGACCCCAACACCCAGCAGGUGAUCGGUAACACGCUGUGUAGAUACAGACCCCAACACCCAGCAGGUGAUCGGUAACACACUGUGUAGAUACAGACCCCAACACCCAGCAGGUGAUCGGUAACACGCUGUGUAGAUACAGACCCCAACACCCAGCAGGUGAUCGGUAACACGCUGUGUAGAUACAGACCCCAACACCCAGCAGGUGAUCGGUAACACGCUGUGUAGAUACAGACCCCAACACCCAGCAGGUGAUCGGUAACACGCUGUGUAGAUACAGACCCCAACACCCAGCAGGUGAUCGGUAACACGCUGUGUAGAUACAGACCCCAACACCCAGCAGGUGAUCGGUAACACGCUGUGUAGAUACAGACCCCAACACCCAGCAGGUGAUCGGUAACACGCUGUGUAGAUACAGACCCCAACACCCAGCAGGUGAUCGGUAACACGCUGUGUAGAUACAGACCCCAACACCCAGCAGGUGAUCGGUAACACGCUGUGUAGAUACAGACCCCAACACCCAGCAGGUGAUCGGUAACACGCUGUGUAGAUACAGACCCCAACACCCAGCAGGUGAUCGGUAACACGCUGUGUAGAUACAGACCCCAACACCCAGCAGGUGAUCGGUAACACGCUGUGUAGAUACAGACCCCAACACCCAGCAGGUGAUCGGUAACACGCUGUGUAGAUACAGACCCCAACACCCAGCAGGUGAUCGGUAACACGCUGUGUAGAUACAGACCCCAACACCCAGCAGGUGAUCGGUAACACGCUGUGUAGAUACAGACCCCAACACCCAGCAGGUGAUCGGUAACACGCUGUGUAGAUACAGACCCC